rnacentral:rRNA from 1 species
UGGGGAAUUUUGGACAAUGGGCGAAAGCCUGAUCCAGCCAUGCCGCGUGAGUGAAGAAGGCCUUCGGGUUGUAAAGCUCUUUUAGUCGGAAAGAAAGAGUUGCAAUGAAUAAUUGUGAUUUAUGACGGUACCGACAGAAAAAGCACCGGCUAACUACGUGCCAGCAGCCGCGGUAAUACGUAGGGUGCGAGCGUUAAUCGGAAUUACUGGGCGUAAAGGGUGCGCAGGCGGUCUUGCAAGUCAGAUGUGAAAGCCCCGGGCUCAACCUGGGAAUUGCGUUUGAAACUACAAGACUAGAGUGCAGCAGAGGGGAGUGGAAUUCCAUGUGUAGCAGUGAAAUGCGUAGAGAUGUGGAAGAACACCGAUGGCGAAGGCAGCUCCCUGGGUUGACACUGACGCUCAUGCACGAAAGCGUGGGGAGCAAACA